AUAGAGACUCAGAGCUGCAUAUCAAUAAGCGGAGGAAAAGAAACUAACAAGGAUUCCCUUAGUAACGGCGAGUGAAGCGGGAAGAGCUCAAAUUUGAAAUCUUCAAGGUUUUACCUUGACGAAUUGUAGUUUAAAGAAGUGUUUUCUGCUGAAGUUUUGGUAAAAGUUCUUUGGAAUAGGACAUCAUAGAGGGUGAGAAUCCCGUAUUUGACCAUUAUUUUCAGCUUUGUGAUACACUUUCAAAGAGUCGGAUUGUUUGGGAAUGCAGUCCAAAAUGGGUGGUAAAUUUCAUCUAAAGCUAAAUAUUGGCGAGAGACCGAUAGCGAACAAGUACCGUGAGGGAAAGAUGAAAAGAACUUUGAAAAGAGAGUUAAACAGUACGUGAAAUUGUCAAAAGGGAAGCGUUUGACACCAGCGUUGUUUUCUCGAAAAUCAAUUAAAAAUGGCUCGAUUUUGUAUUGCUUGAGACCUUAAAAGCUCACUGUACAUUUUUCGUGUCUUUUUUAAUGCACUUUUCGUUUAACAAGUCAACAUCAGUUUCUUUUGUUGUAAAAGGGUCAUUGGAAGGUGGCUUUCUUUUCGGAGAAAGUGUUUAUAGCCUUUGGCCUCUGCAAUCGGAGAGACUGAGGUCUGCAGCGUAGACUCUUCGGGGUUAGAUACAUUUGUGCUAAGUUAUAGCUUUUUAUAGACAACUUGUUGACUAUGAUUUAGUCUUGUAGCUUACUCGCUUAUGUUAUUUUACCUACGCUUAGGAUGUUGAGUAGCGACAUACGCAC
rnacentral:rRNA from 1 species